rnacentral:rRNA from 1 species
CUGAUGCAGCCAUGCCGCGUGUGUGAAGAAGGCCUUCGGGUUGUAAAGCACUUUCAGUCGUGAGGAAGGUAGUGUAGUUAAUAGCUGCAUUAUUUGACGUUAGCGACAGAAGAAGCACCGGCUAACUCCGUGCCAGCAGCCGCGGUAAUACGGAGGGUGCGAGCGUUAAUCGGAAUUACUGGGCGUAAAGCGCAUGCAGGUGGUUUGUUAAGUCAGAUGUGAAAGCCCGGGGCUCAACCUCGGAAUAGCAUUUGAAACUGGCAGACUAGAGUACUGUAGAGGGGGGUAGAAUUUCAGGUGUAGCGGUGAAAUGCGUAGAGAUCUGAAGGAAUACCGGUGGCGAAGGCGGCCCCCUGGACAGAUACUGACACUCAGAUGCGAAAGCGUGGGGAGCAAACAGGAUUAGAUACCCUGGUAGUCCACGCCGUAAACGAUGUCUACUUGGAGGUUGUGGCCUUGAGCCGUGGCUUUCGGAGCUAACGCGUUAAGUAGACCGCCUGGGGAGUACGGUCGCAAGAUUAAAACUCAAAUGAAUUGACGGGGGCCCGCACAAGCGGUGGAGCAUGUGGUUUAAUUCGAUGCAACGCGAAGAACCUUACCUACUCUUGACAUCCAGAGAACUUUCCAGAGAUGGAUUGGUGCCUUCGGGAACUCUGAGACAGGUGCUGCAUGGCUGUCGUCAGCUCGUGUUGUGAAAUGUUGGGUUAAGUCCCGCAACGAGCGCAACCCUUAUCCUUGUUUGCCAGCGAGUAAUGUCGGGAACUCCAGGGAGACUGCCGGUGAUAAACCGGAGGAAGGUGGGGACGACGUCAAGUCAUCAUGGCCCUUACGAGUAGGGCUACACACGUGCUACAAUGGCGCAUACAGAGGGC